rnacentral:rRNA from 1 species
GAUACCCUAUUAUUUUAAAUGUAAUUUUUUACCUAGAUUAUUAGUAGUUAUGGUCUUUAAAAUCAAAAAAUUUGGCGGUAUUUUAGUCUGUUCAGAGGAACCUGUUUUUUAAUUGAUAGUCCACGAUAAGUUUUACUUUAGCUUUAAAUUUGUAUAUCGUCGUUUAUAAAAAUUUUAGUAGAAGGAUAAUUUUUUUGUUGUGGGAUGUUUAAUUUAUUUCAGAUCAAGGUGUAGUUUAUGUUGAAGUAAUAAUGGGUUACAUUGUAGUUAUAGUUGGAAUUUUAAUUUUAAAUUGAAAUGAAAUUGGAUUUGAUAGUAAAUUCUUUGUUUUUGGGAUUUGAUUUAGCUCUAAAAUAUGUACACAUCGCC